rnacentral:tRNA from 1 species
GCUGGCGUAGCUCAAUUGGUAGAGCAGGGCUUUCGUAAAGCUCAGGUCAUCAGUUCAAGUCUGAUCGCCAGCUCCA